UACGUAGGGGGCGAGCGUUGUCCGGAUUCAUUGGGCGUAAAGAGCUCGUAGGCGGCUUGGCAAGUCGGAUGUGAAAACUCCAGGCUCAACCUGGAGCCGCCAUUCGAUACUGCUAUGGCUAGAGUCCGGUAGGGGAGUGUGGAAUUCCCGGUGUAGCGGUGAAAUGCGCAGAUAUCGGGAGGAACACCGAUGGCGAAGGCAGCUCGCUGGGACGUUACUGACGCUGAGACGCGAAAGCGUGGGGAGCAAACAGG
rnacentral:rRNA from 1 species